AACAGAGGAGAGUUGUUGUUUGUAUUCCAGCUGUAGUAAACAAAGAAGUUUAGUGAAUCUUUUUGACAACAGAGAGUGAUGCAGUAUUGAUGCUGAUUUGAGUUUUCUGAUCCUGUAUUUUUGUUCUUUGUCUUUUGUUACACAGAGUGAAAUAAAGCUUGGUUUUGCCUUUGCUGAGUGAAACAGAACUUUGGUUUUGCGUUUGCUGGAUACUGAUCUGAUCGUCGCAAGUCUGGUGACCUGCUGCAGAAGAUCCUCUCUCUCUCUAUCAUUAUAAGCAAUUCUGUCUAUCCUAUCACUCUCCCAACUCUAUCUAAUUUGACAGCCAUUCUAUCUUGUAUCCCUCUCUCUACUGCUCUAUCUAAUUUGAAAGCCAUUCCAUCUUGUAUCCCUCUAUCUCUACCGCUCUAUCUAAUUUGAAAGCCAUUCCAUCUUGUAUCCCUCUCUCUACCGCUCUAUCUAAUUUGAAAGCCAUUCUAUCUUGUAUCCCUCUAUCUCUACUGCUCUAUCUAAUUUGAGAAUCCAAGUUUUCAGAAAUCCUUUUCAGAAUCCAAUCUAUCUGUUACAGAAUUCUGAGAGAUCUCUGCUCUCACUGCUCUUUCUUUCCUGUCUUUAAACUCUCUCACAUUCAGUCAUUUUGCUGGAAAUUACAAGUUGAAUAUACAGUAGUAGAAUUACAGUACAGUAGAACUUAUAGUAGAAACUACUUACACAGCCCUACAUUUGUCAUUUUAAUUUUGCAUUAGACUUUAGUUUGGACUGCUAGUUUGGCUUACUUUGAUCAAUUGUAUAAAAUAUCACCUUUUUAUAAGUUUAUUUGUAAUAAGAUAAUCUGGUUAUUUUGUAAUACAUACAUUCAGAUAAAUAAUAAAUUAGAUCCAGUCUGUUAGUCUGUUUCAUUGGCUAUAACAUUUGACUGCAAGUUUAUAGUACUAUUAUUUAAGGACAAACCCAUUUUGUCACUCGGUGUAAGUAUUCAGUUAGUAUUGUCAUCGAGAAGUGCCUGAGGACCCAGACUUCCUGUUUCCUGACUGCUGCAGAACAUCCAGCUGAAGAAACCCCGUUUCUAAAAGAGGUACAAUAAAACGCACCAAAUUGUUUCCAGAG